rnacentral:rRNA from 1 species
CCUACGGGAGGCUGCAGUGAGGAAUAUUGGUCAAUGGACGAGAGUCUGAACCAGCCAAGUCGCGUGAAGGAUGACUGCCCUAUGGGUUGUAAACUUCUUUUAUAAAGGAAUAAAACGAGGCACGCGUGCCUUUUUGCAUGUACUUUAUGAAUAAGGAUCGGCUAACUCCGUGCCAGCAGCCGCGGUAAUACGGAGGAUCCGAGCGUUAUCCGGAUUUAUUGGGUUUAAAGGGAGCGUAGACGGGUUGUUAAGUUAGAUGGUAAAUUUUGAGGCUCAACCGUAGAAUUGCAGUUGAUACUGGCAGUCUUGAGUGCAGGUGAGGUAGGCGGAAUGCGUGGUGUAGCGGUGAAAUGCUUAGAUAUCACGAAGAACACCGAUUGCGAAGGCAGCUUACUAAGCUAUGACUGACGUUGAUGCUCGAAAGUGUGGGUAUCAAACAGGAUUAGAUACCCGAGUAGUC